rnacentral:rRNA from 1 species
GACGAACGCUGGCGGCGUGCUUAACACAUGCAAGUCGAACGGAUUGCUUGGUGCUUGCACUGAGUGGUUAGUGGCGAACGGGUGAGUAACACGUGAGUAACCUGCCCCCUUCUUUGGGAUAAGCACCUGAAAGGGUGUCUAAUACUGAUUAUUCUGCUGGAAUCGCAUGGUUUUGGUUGGAAAGGUUUUUCUGGUGGGGGAUGGGCUCGCGGCUUAUCAGCUUGUUGGUGGGGUAAUGGCUUACCAAGGCUUUGACGGGUAACCGGCCUGAGAGGGUGACCGGUAACAUUGGGACUGAGAUACGGCCCAGACUCCUACGGGAGGCAGCAGUGGGGAAUAUUGCACAAUGGACGAAAGUCUGAUACAGCGACGCCGCGUGAGGGAUGAAGGCCUUCGGGUUGUAAACCUUUUUCGCUUUUGACCAAGGCAGCAUUUUGGUGUUGUUGAGGGUAUGAGGUAAAGAAGCUCCGGCUAACUACGUGCCAGCCGCCGCAGUAAUAC